rnacentral:rRNA from 1 species
AGAGUUUGAUCCUGGCUCAGGACGAACGCUGGCGGCGUGCCUAAUACAUGCAAGUCGAGCGAACCAAUGGGAGCUUGCUCCCUGAGGUUAGCGGCGGACGGGUGAGUAACACGUGGGUAACCUGCCUGUAAGAUUGGGAUAACUCCGGGAAACCGGAGCUAAUACCGGAUAACAUUUUGAACCGCAUGGUUCAAAAUUGAAAGAUGGUUUCGGCUAUCACUUACAGAUGGACCCGCGGCGCAUUAGCUAGUUGGUGAGGUAACGGCUCACCAAGGCGACGAUGCGUAGCCGACCUGAGAGGGUGAUCGGCCACACUGGGACUGAGACACGGCCCAGACUCCUACGGGAGGCAGCAGUAGGGAAUCUUCCGCAAUGGACGAAAGUCUGACGGAGCAACGCCGCGUGAACGAUGAAGGCCUUCGGGUCGUAAAGUUCUGUUGUUAGGGAAGAACAAGUACCAGAGCAACUGCUGGUACCUUGACGGUACCUAACCAGAAAGCCACGGCUAACUACGUGCCAGCAGCCGCGGUAAUACGUAGGUGGCAAGCGUUGUCCGGAAUUAUUGGGCGUAAAGCGCGCGCAGGCGGUUUCUUAAGUCUGAUGUGAAAGCCCACGGCUCAACCGUGGAGGGUCAUUGGAAACCGGGGAACUUGAGUGCAGAAGAGGAGAGUGGAAUUCCACGUGUAGCGGUGAAAUGCGUAGAGAUGUGGAGGAACACCAGUGGCGAAGGCGACUCUCUGGUCUG